rnacentral:rRNA from 1 species
UACAGAGGUCUCAAGCGUUGUUCGGAUUCAUUGGGCGUAAAGGGUGCGUAGGCGGCGCGGUAAGUCGGGUGUGAAAUUUCGAGGCUUAACUUCGAAACUGCAUUCGAUACCGCCGUGCUUGAGGACUGGAGAGGAGACUGGAAUUUACGGUGUAGCGGUGAAAUGCGUAGAUAUCGUAAGGAAGACCAGUGGCGAAGGCGGGUCUCUGGACAGUUCCUGACGCUGAGGCACGAAGGCCAGGGGAGCAAACGGG